UACUAUCUGAGAUAUACGUCAAGCUCUUAUUUUGAACCUACAGUAUUUAAAUGGGAGUUCAAUAUUUAAAUGUGGAUGUGUACUCUUAUAAGUUCCUAGCACUGCUAGGCAUAGAGAGAUUGAAAUGUUUGUGCGGGCACCCCCCUAUCUUCGUGAUAGGUGUCAAAAUCAGGGCAACGGUAUUUUGGAGUUUAC
rnacentral:other from 1 species